UUUUAUAACUGAAUUUCUGAAUGAAUGAAUCUAAAGAUCUCUCGUCUCUUUUAUAUCUUCAUCGGAACUAACGAGUUACUGAGUCGACUCGCCACAACUCGUUAGUUUCGAAUACUCCACGUGUCUUCUUCUCAGAGGUUUUCCCUUCUUCCGUAACAACUUCUUAACCCCCAAUCUCCAUACGCCAGCUGGCUCUUCAUUUAUUCUGUAACAGCAUGACGCAUGCGCUUCCUUUCCCCUGACUGAAACGGCCGGAGUUAUAGCUUCGUUUUUAUUCCAAUUAAUUCCAUCUCAAAAUCAUCUAUUCAGUCCUCUCAAUCAUAAGCUUCUCAAAAAAAUCCAGAGAAAAUGUUUCUCCGCAAUCCUCCUCCGAUUUAAAGGCUGGCCUGUUGAACCUACUCCGUCAAGGCUCGCCUCCCUCUUGCGAUGAUCACUGAAUCCCGUCGCAACCUCUCUUGCAAGCAUCUGGAAAAAAAAACAGGGGCUGAAGCAUAGAAACAAUGAGGUUAUUUAACCAGUAAGGCGAGAUGAAAAACAAUUGGUAACAUCAAUUAGAGGAAGAGGAAUUGGUACAGCAAUCCAUCUUCUUCCACUGUCUUCGAGAACAAACGCAAAAGGUAACUGCAGAGCAAGGUGUGUUGGGAUAAGCUUGAAAGAAGAUUGAGAGAAAAGACAAUCCUAAUCCUAUUUGUGUUGAGAUUAUAAAGAGAUAAAGAUAAAGAGAUUGUGAUAUAUCUAGAUAUGAUAUUACUUAUAGGAAAAGGAUUGUAAACAUCUAUAUAUAAAGAUGUGAGAGAGAGAGAUGAGAUUUGUGAGGAAUAUUGUGAUUGUGAGAGCUUAAGUUUUUGAGCUAGUUUUCUUAAGCUAAUAAGAAGAGAUACAUUCUUAUAAUCUGUGUGUUCUUUACAAAGGUUUACAACAAUAAGGUGUUCAAUAGUUAUCAGAGAAUACGAAGAAGCGCAAGUAGUUACAUAGCUAAGUAACAGUUGCAUGAUUUUGUGUGUGUGCAGAUAUUUCCAAUGAACAUAAAAGUAACAGCAGGGACAUUAGUUAUGUUGGCCUCAUGGGCAAGUAGUUCGAUCGUCACUUAUGAUUUUCAAUUUUCUAUCCGAGGGACUAUGAGGACUGUGACGGCAGGAACAAUCUUCAAGGCUCUAGAGGCUGCAAAGCUCGAUAGGAGGUUACAGUCCAACACUCGAGUCCUGAUUUAGUUUAGAAGCUCAUCAGCAGCACGCUAAUCCCUCCCAUGACACAUCUGUGAUGAAGCUACAAGGUGACCAGCAAGUCUUAAGCGGAGCUAAAAAUAGGUAUCUUGAGUAGAGAAUUGAGACGAUUGCUCAAGCCGUGCCUAUGUGACUACUUCUAACAAUCACUCACUAGAUGAAUCAAGAGCACAAAGUUGUAGAGAUGGUCUAUCAAUAUAUGCUUUCAGUUACUCAUCCACCAUUUUUCUUAACUUAUGUAAAAACGAGCGAAAGAAGAAAGAAGAAUAUUUAAUAAAGUUUAAAUCAGUUGUGAUUUAACAAUUAUUUUCAUCAAAAUUAAAUAAGGAUGAUAAAAACAAUUAGAUCAUAAUUAUUCUCUAUGUCAGAUAAAUGCAUAUUUUGUUUUACAAAUAUUUACAUAGAUAUAUUUCAUUUCAUUUUUUAAAACAAAGAUCCACAAGUUGGAUAAAUUAUUAUAUUUACAUAUCUUUGAUAAAAUUUUAUUUUCAAAAAUGCUAAGACCGUUAAACAAGAAAAUGCUACUAUAUUUACACAAAUAUAUUUACUCUUAUUUUUCAAAGCAAAGACCCACAAAUUGAACAUAAUUAAUAUAUUUACAUAUCUUUGCUAGAUAUUUUAUUUUCAAAAAUGCUAUGAAAAUAUAUAUUAAAAUGUUAUAAUUUUAUUAGAAUAUAUAUUAGAUAGUCACAUUAAAAUUUUGUUAUUAAAAUAACUUAAAAUAAAUAAUAUUAGAAAACUUCAAAGCUGGGUCCCUCUGUUUUAUUUUUUUUGUUGUUUUACAAUUUAUUUGUAACCGAUCUAAUAAUAAAUUUUACUCAUAUAUAUUUACUUAAUCUAUAAUUACAAGUAUUUACUUAAUAUGACUAAUAAUUAACCGACCUAAUAAUAAAUCUUACUCAUAUAUAUUUACUUAAUCUAUAAUUACAAGUUAGUUUUUUCCUCACGAGAUUCUUCAGAUUCAUCAAACUACAGAAAA